UCUCCGCCUUUCUCUACAGAUCUCCGUCUCCCCCACUCCGCCGCCGUCGACCUCGGGCCCGCCGUCACGCCACCGCCACCACGGUUCUGCCCCAGCGCCGACGCCGACCCCUUUCUGGAUCCGCCAUGGCUGAGAGCACGGCGGCUCGCCGUGGCGGCCUCCCUCUCUCCCUCUCUCGGUCCUCCUCCCUUCACCGCCGGCAUGCACCGCCUCCGCCACCGAGGUCGUUCUCCGACAGAUAGGAUUUUAAGGAAUGAAAACAGUGGCGAAUUUCGGAGCGUGGGCUGUCGAUUGUCGGCGACGGAGUGCCGAGUUCGCUGCCGGAAGUCUCUCCGGCAAAUUUCUAUGUUAUUUAAGCUAAGUUCUUAGUGCUCCUUAAAGUCUGCCAUUUCUAAGUUCUUGAGAGCCUAUAGCAACUAAGUUCUUGAGGAAAAACCGGUCCAAGUUCGUGGCUGCUCUCGUUGAUUUACCCGCCUUCUUCGAACAUUCGAUGUAUAAAUUAAACUUUUGUUGGAUGUAUCGGACAUUAAAAUUUUGGUUUUG